AACGAACGCUGGCGGCAUGCCUAACACAUGCAAGUCGAACGAGACCUUCGGGUCUAGUGGCGCACGGGUGCGUAACGCGUGGGAACCUGCCUUUAGGUUCGGAAUAACUCAGAGAAAUUUGAGCUAAUACCGGAUGAUGUCUUCGGCCCAAAGAUUUAUCGCCUUUAGAUGGUCCCGCGUUGGAUUAGCUAGUUGGUGGGGUAAAGGCCUACCAAGGCGACGAUCCAUAGCUGGUCUGAGAGGAUGAUCAGCCACACUGGGACUGAGACACGGCCCAGACUCCUACGGGAGGCAGCAGUGGGUAAUAUUGGAAAAUCGGCGAAAGCCUGAUCGAGCAAUGCCGCGUGAGUGAUGAAGGCCUUAGGGUUGUAAAGCUCUUUUACCCGAGAUGAUAAUGACAGUAUCGGGAGAAUAAGCUCCGGCUAACUCCGUG
rnacentral:rRNA from 1 species